UGGGGUGAGCAGGGAUGGCAGUGGAAACAGCACACCUGAUAAUGGGUCUGAUUAUGGUUAAUAGGUCUGAUUACGGAUUCCCCUUGGAGCACCCCAGAAAGCCAAUAUCUGUGCCUUCACCAGCAAGCAGCACGGCGCAGCAGGACCAGGCCUGUACAGCAGAGGAGGGGCCGCAGAAGAGCACCCAUUUCGGUGCUCCUGCCUUCACGUGACUGUUCUGGCAGUGCCAUGUAGCUGCCUCUUGCCCCGUGCCCUCCCUGCAGCCUCCGUAGCACUGCCACUUGCUGCACGGCCUGGGAAGGAGGGCAGCUUCAUCUUGCUCUGCCAAGCCAACACGGGGAGAGGACUGGCUUUGUGUGAGAUGCGAUGGGAGCUGUGCAGCAGUUUCAGGGCUGUAUAAAGAACUGGUUAAUAACCAUCCAUAAAACUAGAGCUGGAAAACUUGCACACAUAAGUAUUUUUAAAAUUGCCCAACAAGGUCAUCAAGUCUUUAAUACUGAUUUUUCAGCAAAUACCGUGUCACUGAAUUUCCAGAGAAUCAGGGGAAAUAACUGUUGAGCCAUUAUCCCAAAACAGUAACUGCUAUGUCCUAGGUAAGCAUUAACCAAAACUUGGCUAAUCUAACCCCAAUCCUUGGCAAAAGCAAUAAGGAGGUUGAUGAAGUACGCGGCCAACACAGAAUUAAACUGCAACAUUUUCUGUGAAUAUGUUGACUCCAGAAAUAAUGUUUUUAACUUUUCUUGGUGAGGAGACACGCUGAAUGUAGGAAGACGAUCAUUCGGACUUGAGUCAGACCAGUUCAGUACUACAGCUAA